rnacentral:rRNA from 1 species
GUGGGGAAUAUUGGACAAUGGGCGCAAGCCUGAUCCAGCAAUGCCGCGUGAGUGAUGAAGGCCUUAGGGUUGUAAAGCUCUUUUACCCGGGAUGAUAAUGACAGUACCGGGAGAAUAAGCUCCGGCUAACUCCGUUCCAGCAGCCGCGGUAAUACGUAGGGAGCUAGCGUUGUUCGAAAUUACUGGGCGUAAAGCGCGCGUAGGCGGCUAUUCAAGUCAGGGGUGAAAGCCCGGGGCUCAACCCCGGAACUGCCUUUGAAACUAGGUAGCUAGAAUCUUGGAGAGGCGAGUGGAAUUCCGAGUGUAGAGGUGAAAUUCGUAGAUAUUCGGAAGAACACCAGUGGCGAAGGCGACUCGCUGGACAAGUAUUGACGCUGAGGUGCGAAAGCGUGGGGAGCAAACAGGAUUAGAAACCCCGGUAGUCC